rnacentral:hammerhead_ribozyme from 2 species
UCAUUGUUGAGGAGUCCCACAAUAGGACGAAACGGCCGUCCAGUGC